UGUUUUCAUAUGCAACUAUGGACCAUCGGGUAACUAUCAGGGAGUCAAUCCAUACGUACAAGGAUCUUCGUGCAGCCAGUGUCCAGCUGCUUUUAACACGUGCAGUAAUGAAUUGUGCUCUUCUGGUUCAACUGUUGACACCUCUUCCAGUCAAGAGGCCUUCAUUCAGCUCAUCAUGAUGGAGGCUGAGAGAGAAAGGGAAUGAAACAAUGUCGUAGCUAUGAACAUAUGAACAUGAAGUUAGUGAGUAGCUGUAUACCAAUUAGUGGUUUGUAGUUCCACAUGGUAGGAUCAGUCAUGCGUAUAUAGGUUCUUCUUAGUUCAUAUCGUUUAAUUGCAGUGUAGCUGCUCUAAACCGAUAGAAUGAUUUUUUUCUAGUUUGGUUGACCUUGAAUUUAGUACAUAACUGCUUAUAAUACUUAUUGUACUAUAGCUUUAAGUCAAUAUUCUCAAAGUUGAGUACAGAUGAUUGGCUUUGUGCGUGGUGUGUGUCUGAGUGCAUAUGAUGGGAGCUUAAUGGUCUGAUGUGUUUGUUGGGUCCAUGCAUAUAUCGUUCCAACAACUGCUAGUAAUACAAUAUUUCUGUGUACGUGUGUUUCUACAUAUAAGAUGCAGCGUCUCAGUCGAUUAAUUGCUGGCAGUCAUUGAGUUAUAAAAGCAGCAGCUAAACGUUUUCUCGAUUCAAAGUUCAACUGCAAAUCAUCACUUCCAAACGGUUACGGCACUACAAAAAUGAAGACAGGAGUCAUUUUUUGUUGCCUUCUAGCCGGCAUUGUCCUCUGUAUUGGAACCGCUAGCGGAACAGGUGUCACCCUGAGUGAUUGUGACAAGUCAGUGAUCAUCAAAACUCACAAUGAUAUUCGGAGUGAUGUGUCCCCUACUGCAGCUAAUAAUUAUGGUUAAACUUCAACAGAGCUGAGAGACACAAAGCAGCAGCUCCUUAUUUCUUUUCAGUUGGUGAAAACAUUGUAGCAUUCUCUGGAAGUAUCGACUAUCAACAUUUUAUUGACUGGGCAGAAAAGCAGCAUUAUAGUUACCCCAAUUGUAACUCAGGCGAAGACUGUGGUCAUUACACCCAGAUAGCCUGGGCCACUACAACCACGUUGGAUGUGCCACUGCCCUCUGUCCUUCUGUCGGUAUGAAUGUUUUCAUAUGCAACUAUGGACCAUCGGGUAACUAUCAGGGAGUCAAUCUGUACGUACCAGGAUCCUCGUGCACCCAGUGUCCAGCUGGUUUCAACACGUGCAGUAAUAAAUUGUGCACUUUUGGUUCAAACGUUGACACCUCUUCCAGUCAAGAGGCCUUCAUUCAACUCAUCAUGAACAUGAUGGAGGCUGAGAGAGAAAGGGAAUGAAACAAUGUCGUAUAGCUAUGAACAUAUGAACAUGAAGUUAGUGAGUAGCUAUACCAAUUAGUGGCCAUCGUUUGUAGUUCCAAAACACAUGGUAGGAUCAGCCAUGCGUAUAGUUUCUUCUUAGUUCAUAUUGUUUAACUGCUGAUAAUACUUAUUGUAGCUUUAUGUCAAUAUUCUCAAAGUUGAGUGCAGAUGAUUGGCUUUGUGCGUGGUGUGUGUCUGAGUGCAUAUGAUGGGAGCUUAAUGAUCUGAUGUGUUUUGCUGGGUCCAUAUAUCGUUCCACUGAAUUAACAACUGCUAGUAAUACAAUCUUCUGUGUACGUGUGUUAUUACAUAAGAUGCAACGUCUCAGUCGAUCAAUUGCUGGCGGUCAUUGAGUUAUAAAAGGAGCAGCUAAAAUUUUUC